CACUGAAUGAGCAGCUGUGGGGUAGGACUGCGGGAGGGUGGGCAGAGGUCUACACCGAGAGAGGUGAUGGUGGCCCGGCCAGAGACACAGAGCCGGGUGUAAGCCUCUCUUGCUGUGUCCACCCACGCCUCCGCUCGGCGCCCUCCCCCUGCCUCGUUCCUCAGAGGCCACCAGUGACUAUAGUGUCAAGAAAAGUUCCAGAAGCUCUUCCCUGGGCAAUUCAUCGAUCCUUCCACGUUCACCUGGCACUUCUUAGACUCUGCCCGUGAGGUGACUGGAGCAGGUGCCGGGAAGCAGAAGGCGGGAGCUAUGGAAGGUUCUUGAGCUCAGCCCUGUCUGGACCACAGGAUGGCUUUGCUGAGGUGACAGGCACGGGAGCUUGAUCACAGAAGGUGUGGAAACAGUCCGGGGCUCUGAGGCCCAGCCCGUCCCUGCCCUGGCCCACGGUGUGACCUAGGAGGAACAAAGGCAAGAAAGUAGCAGACUGAACAACCGUCCCACAGCCUGGUGUCCUCUGAUCUGCCCGAGGGUCUCAAGGGCAGGGGCGGAAUCUGUGAACUGGUGUCACUAUUCCUCAAAGCUGGCUGCCAGACUCAGCCUCUGUCCUGGAGGAGGCCGCCCAGGCUCCUGGAAAUGUCAAGUGCCUGUCUUUGCUCUGGGCUGACAUCACCGCUGCGUGGGAACAGAGCGCGUGCUCAUGCCGAGCCCGUCCGGAUUGGCAGCGAUCUGGGUUCUUGUUUGGUUUCAAAAUAGGGGGCCCAGAAGGCAAAGUCGUGAAAGAUGCCCUUGUUGGAAGAAAUGUCCAGGAGUCCAGCUGAUAGCCUCCUUCUGGGCUUUGGCUGAGAAGAGGCAAGAGCCGCACACCCACUCCCCCAACGUCUGGGUUCCGACGGGAAGCUGGGAGACCCCAGGUGGAGUCCUCAUUAUACGACUUUAUAGUCUGUGUGGGGGGAGGGGGGAAGGGGCGGAAAUCUCAGCUAAUGCUCUUGUAAUGCACCCCAGUCCAUUCCCACAUCUGUAGGGCAGGGCUAUUCUUCUCAUAGCCUUAGGUGAUCUUAUUAAGAAGUCGGUUGGGGGCGGAAGGGGGGGGCGGCUG